UACGUAGGUGGCAAGCGUUGUCCGGAAUUAUUGGGCGUAAAGCGCGCGCAGGCGGCCUUUUAAGUCUGAUGUGAAAGCCCCCGGCUCAACCGGGGAGGGCCAUUGGAAACUGGAAGGCUUGAGUACAGAAGAGAAGAGUGGAAUUCCACGUGUAGCGGUGAAAUGCGUAGAGAUGUGGAGGAACACCAGUGGCGAAGGCUACUCUUUGGUCUGUAACUGACGCUGAGGCGCGAAAGCGUGGGGAGCAAACAGG
rnacentral:rRNA from 1 species